GACAGAGGCCCCAAGCGUUAGGCGGAAUCACUGGGCUUAAAGCGUGUGUAGGCGGAUCGUUAAGUGUCUUGUGAAAUCCCACGGCUCACCCGUGGAACUGCUGGGCAUACUGGCGAUCUUGGGCCAACUAGGGGCAGUCGGAACAAGCGGUGGAGCGGUGAAAUGCGUAGAUAUCGCUUGGAACGCCGAAGGUGAAAACAGACUGCUGGGGUUGAGCUGACGCUGAGACACGAAAGCCAGGGGAGCAAACGGG
rnacentral:rRNA from 1 species